GACGAACGCUGGCGGCGUGCUUAACACAUGCAAGUCGAACGGAAAGGCCCUGCUUUUGUGGGGUGCUCGAGUGACGAACGGGUGAGUAACACGUGAGUAACCUGCCCUUGACUUUGGGAUAACUUCAGGAAACUGGGGCUAAUACCGGAUAGGAGCUCCUGCUGCAUGGUGGGGGUUGGAAAGUUUCGGCGGUUGGGGAUGGACUCGCGGCUUAUCAGCUUGUCGGUGGGGUAGUGGCUUACCAAGGCUUUGACGGGUAGCCGGCCUGAGAGGGUGACCGGCCACAUUGGGACUGAGAUACGGCCCAGACUCCUACGGGAGGCAGCAGUGGGGAAUAUUGCACAAUGGGCGGAAGCCUGAUGCAGCAACGCCGCGUGCGGGAUGACGGCCUUCGGGUUGUAAACCGCUUUCGCCUGUGACGAAGCGUGAGUGACGGUAAUGGGUAAAGAAGCACCGGCUAACUACGUG
rnacentral:rRNA from 1 species